CAUCUGGCUGGAUAUGAUUUCCCAAAAAUCAUGGGAGAGGUCCUGAUUUACUGAUGAGAAGUGGAUCUUUUCCUUGUGCGCCAACGACUUCCUUCAACGAGAAUUUCCUUCCUUAUUUGAUGCUUCAAUCUCGCUUCCAUGAUUGGAUAUAGUGGCCGCUUGCCUUUUAGCUUUGCUUCAUUAGUUUUAGUGGUUCUGCUUCCUUCCUUGAAUAUCUGGACAUGUAUAUUAAUUGCAUCAUUAAAAUCUAAUCUAACAAUCUCCCCCUUUUUGAUGAUGGCAGUGGUUCUGCCUCCUUUCUUGAGUAUCUGCACAUGUAUGUUAAUUGCAUCACUAAAAUCUAAUCUAACAAUCUCCCCUUUUUUGAUGAUGGCAAAAUUAAUAUACUAGAGUAAACAACAGUUGACUUCCCUGUUUACAUUCAGUUGGAUUGCUCCCCCUCAAUGUGUAGUCAACUGGACUUGAGCUCCCAUUGUUUAUGUGUAGUCGAUGUGUUUCUCCCCCUCAUUAGAUGCAGGCGACUGGGAUCUGUAGAGGAUUAUCUAACAGACAUACGAAGUACAUGAUGAAGUCGACUUGACAAACAAUCAACCUGUCUUGUGCAGAUAUAAUAAUAACUAUGCAAUAGUAUAGGCACAUCAAAUCACAUCGAAUCAUCAUACUGUAUAGCAAAGAUAGCAUAUAUAUUUCUCCCCCUUUUUGACAUUAGCAAAAUAGGGAGCAGCAAAAGCAUAGUUCACAAAAAAUAAAAUUC
rnacentral:lncRNA from 1 species